AUUAAAAUAAAACAAACGGGCACGAGAAUAUGUGACCGGACGUUGUGACGUGCGUAUACAAGAUAUGAGUACAGUUAUUAUUUUUUUUUUUCCAAUACAAAGCAUCCAUUUAAUAAAUGUUAUAUAGAUUAUGUAAUCCACUGAUGCCGAGAAACAAAAAAUAAGAUGGAUGGCAGUCUGUUCAUAUUUUAAAACCAAGAGUUGGCCCAACACAAGCCAGCUGCUGACUGCAAAAAUGAAACAAUGUAUAUAACAGACAUAGACAUGGUUGAUUAGGGAGCAGAUUAUCACAACCAAACCAAAAAAACAGAAAUGUAGUUCUUAUCAGUAAAUCCAAGUAUCACAGACUACUCAUAGAAUAUACCAACACUACUAAAUACACUGUGUCAGAUACCAAUUCCACAGAUAAUGUUAGAAGAGAGGUUUAUAGACUAUGUAAUCAUCCAGAAGCUCUGCCCUUUCAUCCAUAUGGGCAAAGUUAUAAUACAGCUCUGAGGCUGUUUGGUUUCAUUAAGUGCCAUACAAGUCUUCCUUGGAAAUCAAAUCUAUCAGAGAAAACUAUACUGCUCCAACUUAUAAGUUGGAGAAAUCACUAACCCAGUUCAUUAAAGCCAAGGACAUAUUAUUAGUAAUUCACUUGAAUUUAGAUGUCGACUUGAAAGGAUCAAUCUGUACCAGAAUGACAUUCUAGUCAUGUUGGAUAUUAAAUCUCUCUAUCCAAGAUUUCUAUUGGAACUUGCAGUCUUGAAACUCAGAAAUUUACUGUGACAUCCAUCUACUGUGUCAGCAGAAUUUAAAAUCUUGUUGGACUUUGCGUACCUGGUUUGAAAAAAUGCCUAUUGUAAGUAGAUAUUUCAUGCAAACUAAAGUGCCCCUAUGAGCUAGAAAAAAUUGUAGUUGGAAAAAGUGAAAAAGCCAUCAUCCUUUCCACCAAGGACUUUGUGUCAAGUUCUACAUCUGCUGUAUUGAUGACAUUUUUAUGCUUGUAGAUAAUAUGCAAGUUGCCAAUGACUUUGCCUCCAGCAUUAACAACAACUCUUAUGGGUUAAUCAUAUAGUUCAAACAAUCGGAUAAGGAGCAGGUGCACUUUUUGGACACAUACCUUGCAAAAAAAGAUAAAUUUAUUCUCUUUCUCCAUCUUUAGAAAAUCUAGCAGCAGCCUCAUUUCAUUUAUGAACUUUCCAACAUUGCAGCUAGAUACUAAGAUGCUAGCAUCUAUGCACUCAUUUGGCAGCCUUAUAAAUUUUGUAUGGAGGAGGCUGAUGUGAUAAAUAAACCUAAGGUUCUCAGGGAGGAAGUCUGGCCAUGGAUACAUUGGCAAUAAAUUUGAAACCUGAUCUGUAAGAUUCAUAUCAAAUAUCUUAAAAUGCACAGCACUUCAUGCACUACUUCCAAUGUUACUCACCCAACAGGAUGCUCCAGCAAAACAUUCCCUGUCCACCCCACAACAUCCCAUUGCAACAAGAUUAUUAGUGAAAUUAAUACAAAUUAUGCUUAUUAUGUCUCUGAAAGAAGAAAUUCCAGUUUUCCAAUUGAUUCAUAAUGACAAAACUAAGCCUAAUGUAGAGAGGAAGUGCAAAAUAUACAAGAUAUCAUUAGUGGAUCUAGUGUCUAGCAUAGUAAGCCACUACAUAAGAAUAACUAAAAGAUGCCUAGAAAAAUGUAUAUAACAGCACUGAUAUGAUAUAAAAAAAAAAAUAAAGAAAAUACAGCUCUUGUAUUUUUCAGAGAUACCCUAUUCCAAAGACUUGAUAGUUGAACAGGAUGAUGCUAAAAUCAUUUAUUUGCUGUAUUUUAAUAAAUUGAACUCCAUCUUUUAUGAGAUUUGGAACAUUUAUCUAUGUAGCCAAAUGAGUCUAAUUAAUUCUAGAGAUGAGGAUUCUACACUCAAUGCUUGGGAGUUCUUGAUUAAUUAGCUUACCUGCAAUAUGUAAGUGGCACAAAUGUAAGCAUUUGUAAUUUUUUACUUCUUUAUAUCCGUUCUUUUUGCACAACAUUUUAUCAUCUUGCGUAUACCUAUUUGUCUGUUCCUACUGUUAUCCCAACACUUGGGAUUUACAUCACAAUUUAUACUUUGUUACAGAUGUUCUGCUCCAUUUUUUGUUAAUGCUCAUUUUCUUUUUACAGAUGAAAAGUGGUAGUCCUAGCUGGAAAGUGCUCCUGAAGCUAUAAUUUUCUUUUAAGGUCUGAUAAGUUAGUUUGGAUUUUGUUUUAUAUUAAUUUAAUAAACUAACAAUCAGGUC
rnacentral:lncRNA from 1 species